rnacentral:lncRNA from 1 species
UCCAAAUUUUUUCUGGAGACCACAGCCAGUGGUUGGCCCUGCUAUACCUAGACCCAACUAUCAGGAUCCAACAUAUAGGCAUGGACCAUACCACCAGUUCCAAAAUGCUCCUUAACCAUCUACCACUAGUCACAGCUCAGCUUUUGAGGAAAAGAUUUUAAAAGUGCUAGAAUGAUUAGAAGUCAACACCCAAACUCUUAACUCCCACACGCAAUCUAUUGCUAAGCUAGAGACCCAAAUAGGUCAACUAGCAACCGCAUUCAGUAGGAUGGAAGGAGAAAAAUUACCUAGCCAAUCUGAGAGCAACCCAAGAGAGUAAUUCAUGACUAAGAGCUCCAAUGCUCUAGAAACCUUUUCUGAACAUGCCAAAUCAAUCAUGACUCUCAAAAGUGAGAACAUCAUUGAACACACGAGUAAAAUCAAUAAGACCAACCCUAGACCUCGGACCAAACUCGAAUCACCCAAGAACAAGAAGGAUCCAAAAAUAGAGAAUGAAUCAACUGCACCAAAAGCACCUUAUUUGCCUAAAGCCCCAUUUUUGAGUGCCCUAAAAGCCCCUACUCCUG